rnacentral:rRNA from 1 species
GUUGAUCCUGCCGGAGGCCAUUGCUAUCGGAGUCCGAUUUAGCCAUGCUAGUCGCACGGGUUCAGACCCGUGGCAUAUAGCUCAGUAACACGUGGCCAAACUACCCUGUGGACGGAGAUAACCUCGGGAAACUGAGACUAAUAUCCGAUACGACUCGCCAGCUGGAGUGCGGCGAGUCGGAAACGUUGCGGCGCCACAGGAUGUGGCUGCGGCCGAUUAGGUAGACGGUGGGGUAACGGCCCACCGUGCCCAUAAUCGGUACAAGUCAUGAGAGUGAGAGCUUGGAGACGGUAUCUGAGACAAGAUGCCGGGCCCUACGGGGCGCAGCAGGCGCGAAACCUUUACACUGCACGACAGUGCGAUAGGGGGACUCCGAGUGCGAGGGCAUAUAGUCCUCGCUUUUCUGUACCGUAAGGUGGUACAGGAAUAAGGGCUGGGCAAGACCGGUGCCAGCCGCCGCGGUAAUACCGGCAGCCCGAGUGAUGGCCGCUAUUAUUGGGCCUAAAGCGUCCGUAGCCGGCCAGACAAGUCCGUUGGGAAAUCCACGCGCUUAACGCGUGGACGUCCGGCGGAAACUGUCUGGCUUGGGGCCGGAAGACCUGAGGGGUACGUCCGGGGUAGGAGUGAAAUCCCGUAAUCCUGGACGGACCGCCGGUGGCGAAAGCGCCUCAGGAAGACGGACCCGACGGUGAGGGACGAAAGCUAGGGUCUCGAACCGGAUUAGAUACCCGGGUAGUCCUAGCUGUAAACGAUGCUCGCUAGGUGUGCCGCAGGCUACGAGCCUGCGCUGUGCCGUAGGGAAGCCGUGAAGCGAGCCGCCUGGGAAGUACGUCUGCAAGGAUGAAACUUAAAGGAAUUGGCGGGGGAGCACUACAACCGGAGGAGCCUGCGGUUUAAUUGGACUCAACGCCGGACAUCUCACCAGCACCGACAAUGUGCAGUGAAGGUCAGGUUGA